GACGAACGCUGGCGGCGUGCCUAAUACAUGCAAGUUGAGCGAUGAAGAUUGGUGCUUGCCCCAAUUUGAAGAGCAGCGAACGGGUGAGUAACGCGUGGGGAAUCUGCCUUUGAGCGGGGGACAACAUUUGGAAACGAAUGCUAAUACCGCAUAACAACUUUAAACAUAAGUUUUAAGUUUGAAAGGUGCAAUUGCAUCACUCAAAGAUGAUCCCGCGUUGUAUUAGCUAGUUGGUGAGGUAAAGGCUCACCAAGGCGAUGAUACAUAGCCGACCUGAGAGGGUGAUCGGCCACAUUGGGACUGAGACACGGCCCAAACUCCUACGGGAGGCAGCAGUAGGGAAUCUUCGGCAAUGGACGAAAGUCUGACCGAGCAACGCCGCGGGAGUGAAGAAGGUUGUCGGAUCGUAAAACUCUGUUGGUAGAGAAGAACGUUGGUGAGAGUGGAAAGCUCAUCAAGUGACGGUAACUACCCAGAAAGGGACGGCUAACUACGUG
rnacentral:rRNA from 1 species